rnacentral:rRNA from 1 species
UACGUAGGGUGCGAGCGUUAAUCGGAAUUACUGGGCGUAAAGGGCGCGUAGGCGGCGCAGUUAGUCAGGCGUGAAAUCCCCGGGCUCAACCUGGGAACUGCAUUUGUGACUGCAUAGCUAGAGUACGGUAGAGGGGGAUGGAAUUCCGCGUGUAGCAGUGAAAUGCGUAGAUAUGCGGAGGAACACCGAUGGCGAAGGCAAUCCCCCUGGACCUGUACUGACGCUCAUGCACGAAAGCGUGGGGAGCAAACAGG